UACGGCUCAGUAACACGUCGAUAAUCUGCCCUGAGGUCAGUGAUAGCCACGCGAAAGUGUGGGUAAACACCGAUAGGUAACGAGCACUGCAACGUCUCAUUACUCAAAUUCGUGCCUCAGGAUGAGUCGGCGGCUGAUUAGGUAGUUGGCGGGGUAACGGCCCACCAAGCCUUGGAUCAGUACGGGCCAUGAAAGUGGUAGCCCGGAGAGGGACACUGAGAUACUGGUCCCAGCCCUACGGGGUGCAGCAGGCGCGCAAACUCUCCAAUGUGCGAAAGCGUGAGAGGGGAACUCCUAGUGCUUACGGUUUAUCCGUAGGCUUUUGCCAUGUGUAAAUAGCAUGGCGAAUAAGUGGUGGGUAAGACUGGUGCCAGCCGCCGCGGUAACACCAGCGCCACAAGUGGCCAUCGCGAUUAUUGGGCCUAAAGCGUUCGUAGUCGGUUCGGUGCAUCCUCUGUGAAAUCGCUGCGCUUAACGUAGCGGCAUGCGGAGGACACGACCGAGCUCGAGACCGGGAGGCGUUGAGGGUAUUCCAGGGGGACCGGUAAAAUGGUAUAAUCCCUGGAGGACCACCUGUGGCGAAGGCGCUCAACGAGAACGGAUCUGACGAUGAGGAACGAAAGCCAGGGGAGCAAACCGGAUUAGAUACCCGAGUAGUCCUGGCCGUAAACGCUGUCAGCUAGGUGUUGCAGUGAUCUGGAGUCACUGCAGUAUCGGAGCGAAGGUAUUAAGCUGACCGCCUGGGAAGUACGGUCGCAA
rnacentral:rRNA from 1 species